rnacentral:rRNA from 1 species
AUAUCAAUAAGCGGAGGAAAAGAAACUAACAAGGAUUCCCUUAGUAACGGCGAGUGAACCGGGAAGAGCUCAAAUUUGAAAUCUGGCUGUCUUCGAUAGUCCGAGUUGUAAUCUAUAGAAGCGUUUUCCGUGCUGAACUGUGUAUAAGUCCCUUGGAACAGGGUAUCAAAGAGGGUGACAAUCCCGUACUUUACACAAUCAUCAGUGCUCUGUGAUACGUUCUCUACGAGUCGAGUUGUUUGGGAAUGCAGCUCAAAAUGGGUGGUAAAUUCCAUCUAAAGCUAAAUAUUGGCGAGAGACCGAUAGCGAACAAGUACCGUGAGGGAAAGAUGAAAAGCACUUUGGAAAGAGAGUUAAACAGUACGUGAAAUUGUUAAAAGGGAAACGAUUGAAGUCAGUCGUGUUUAUUGGAUUCAGCCGGUCUUCGGUGUACUUCCUUUAAACGGGUCAACAUCAGUUUUGUCCGGUGGAUAAAGGCAGUAGGAAUGUGGCUCCCUCGGGAGUGUUAUAGCCUAUUGUCACAUACACUGGAGGAGACUGAGGACUGCAGCUCGCCUUUUGGCCGGGGUUCGCCCACGUUCGAGCUUAGGAUGUUGACAUAAUGGC